GACGAACGCUGGCGGCGUGCUUAACACAUGCAAGUCGAACGGAAAGGCCCCUUUGGGGGUACUCGAGUGGCGAACGGGUGGGUAACACGUGCGUAACCUGCCCUUGACUUCGGGAUAACUUCAGGAAACUGGGGCUAAUACCUGCUAGGAAUCCUUGCCGCAUGGUGGGGGUUGGAAAGCUUGGGCGGUUUUGGAUGGACUCACGGCUUAUCAGCUUGUUGGUGGGGUAGUGGCUUACCAAGGCUUUGACGGGUAGCCGGCCUGGGAGGGCGACCGGCCACAUUGGGACUGAGAUACGGCCCAGACUCCUACGGGGGGCAGCCGGGGGGAAUAUUGCACAAUGGGCGGGAGCCUGAUGCAGCAACGCCGCGGGCGGGAUGACGGCCUUCGGGUUGUAAACCGCUUUCAGCAGGGGAGAAGCUUGUGGUGACGGUACCUGCAGAAGAAGCACCGGCUAACUACGUG
rnacentral:rRNA from 1 species